GAAGAGUGGGCAUGUGCAAAGGCCCUGGGGUAUGAAAAGGUGUGGCACGUUUGGGGAAGGGAAAGAAGGCUGGAGUGUUUGGAGGUGGGAGAAGGAGAUCAGAGAGCCGGGCAGAGGCCAGAUCACAGAGGCCUCAUCAUGACCUGUCAUGGCAAGAAGUUUGAAGGUCUCCCCAAUCCAGUGAGAAGCCACUAAAGGGCUUGAAGCAGCAGAGGAUUCAAUUUACGUUUUUAAAAGACUGGUCUGGCUGCUGUUUGGAAACGUAUCUUUGAGAGAAAAGCCAAGACACAAGGAGACAAAUACCAUUGAUGAACACGGCUUUGCUCCAGGUGGCAGCUGUAGGUCUGAGACGAAGUUGAAAGCCAAGUCCCAGAGGACCAGAGGACCGGCUGUGAGCUGGAUGUACAGUGUCCUAACCUUGCUGAAGUAUUCUCUCCCUCAGCAUAGAGUCAGCUGUCCUUUCCAGAGAGCUUGUUGCUAAAGGAAAUUUCCAGUGGAUUCUCGGUCCCUUCUCCUCUGGGCUACCAAAGUCAUCGCUUUCCACAGGGCAGACUGGGAAGUAGGCUGCGGUCGUUGCUGAUGAGGGAGUUGUUUGCCUUCUCAAUGUUGACGUCAUCUCCCACGCAGAACACAUCGCAGGCUGCCUGUGGCACACACAGGGCUUCCGGUGACCUCUU